rnacentral:rRNA from 1 species
CUUGUACACACUGCCCGUCACGCCAUGGAAGUUGGUUUUACCCGAAGCCGGUUGCUUAACCGCAAGGAGAGCGCCGUCCACGGUAAUAUCAAUGACUGGGGUG